UGGGGAAUAUUGGACAAUGGGCGAAAGCCUGAUCCAGCCAUGCCGCGUGUGUGAAGAAGGUCUUCGGAUUGUAAAGCACUUUAAGUGGGGAGGAAGGGCAUUAACCUAAUACGUUAGUGUUUUGACGUUACCGACAGAAUAAGCACCGGCUAACUCUGUGCCAGCAGCCGCGGUAAUACAGAGGGUGCAAGCGUUAAUCGGAAUUACUGGGCGUAAAGCGCGCGUAGGUGGUUUGUUAAGUUGGAUGUGAAAGCCCCGGGCUCAACCUGGGAACUGCAUCCAAAACUGGCAAGCUAGAGUACGGUAGAGGGUGGUGGAAUUUCCUGUGUAGCGGUGAAAUGCGUAGAUAUAGGAAGGAACACCAGUGGCGAAGGCGACCACCUGGACUGAUACUGACACUGAGGUGCGAAGGCGUGGGGAGCAAACA
rnacentral:rRNA from 1 species